CCCAAGAACAUUCCUGCUCCCCUCUGUGGAAGUUUCACUGCUCCCAUCCAUUCACAAUAAAGCUGGGCUUCAAGAUGGACCUGCCCUCCUUGCCUCCUUGCCUCCUUUCCUCUCCCCUUCCUGCUGGCCCUUCGUCGUAAUAACGUUUCUUUAGGAGAUGCGGUGAAAUGAAAAGGAAGUUUGUGUUAUAGCGAGUCGAGUCCCCCGGGUUGGUCGGGUGUCCCCCAGGUUGGUCGGGUGUCCCCCGGGUUUGUCGGGUGUCCCCCAGGUUGGUCGGGUGUCCCCGGGGUUUGACGGGUGUCCCCCAGGUUUGGUCUGGUGUCCCCCGGGUUGGUUGGGUGUCCCCCAGGUUGGUCGGGUGUCCCCCGGGUUGGUUGGGUGUCCCCCAGGUUGGUCGGGUGUCCCCCGGGUUUGGUCUGGUGUCCCCCGGGUUGGUUGGUGUCCCCCGGGUUUGGUCUGGUGUCCCCCGGGUUGGUCAGGUGUCCCCCAGGUUGGUUGGGUGUCCCCCGGGUUGGUCGGUGUCCCCCGGGUUGGUUGGUGUCCCCCGGGUUGAUCGGUGUCCCCCGGGUUGGUUGGUGUCCCCCGGCGUCAUGCUUCUAUCUGAAUGAGACACUCACAUGUAUGUAUUCAUAUAACCCGUGUAGUGGGUGUGAACACGCUCUGUAGGUCACAUGCUGUUUACAUUGUAGAGCCGGGGGGGGGGGUCUCUCUUCCUGCGCCGACACCGCGGAAGCCCCUGCCGGGUCGUUCAGCGUGACCUGUGGAGUAUGUGAUGUAUACAUGUUCGUAUACAUGUAUGUUGUAUGUAAUAAGGUUCCUACACUCUAAUCAACUCAAAUCAGCUGAAUCCAUCAUGGAGACGACAGUUACAACAAGACGAAAGCUAAUCGUCUGUUUAUUUGGUCUCUUCCUUUAGAUGAAAAUGUCUGAUCAGAGUGACGACCCCGAGUGUCCCUCCGACGACACGACGGCGUCACGUGACGAACAACCAGCCGGAUCGGCUUUGUUGUGUCACAGAGGGGAAGUCGUGUGUAAAUCUGCAGUGAUGACAGAGGAGCUCAGCAGCGAUCAGAGCGAGAGGAUCAUUGGACCAACGUAACAUGCAGAUGAUGAGCUGUGUGUGCGUGUGCGUGUGCGUGUGCGUGUGUGUGUGUGCAGGAAUGUGCUUAAAUGAAAGACAUGAAUGUUCCAUGGGGGAGGGGGGGCCUCUGUAGGACCCUCUGUUAGAUAGAGAGGCCGUAUAGUUUCCACCUGUGUUUUAGUGGAGGGCAGGUUCUCGUGUCACGUGCCCCCCUGCCCCCCCCCCCCCCCCCUCGGGGGUUGUUUGGCGAUCGGGAGCAGGAAGCACUUGUUGUGCACAGGAAGGCCCCAAACGCAGGCUGAUAACUUUAACACUUCUUCUUCCCUUCACACGCGCUCACUUCCUCUUCCUCUGAGGACGGCGCUCCGCGUGCGCGCGUGUGUGUGUGUAUGUGUGUGUGUAUGUGUGUGUAUGUGUGUGUGUGUGUGCGUGUGCGUGUGUCUGCGUGUGGUAAAGUAAAGCAACACUGGCUGAUGCGUUUCCUGGUUUUAUUUGUCUCUUUCCACGUGAUCAAUUGUUCCAAAGCAUUUAUGUUUAACUCUGAGGAGGGAAUUGUUUUCAUGUAAUCGAUUGCCAUAAAGUUCCAUUUCUUAAAUUUAAAAUAAAGAUGAUUAGAAGUUAAAUAUUCUGUGGAAAAUUUCUUUUCUGUGUUGACUUUUCAGUUCAUUAAUACAUCAUAUUUAUUAGUUUGUCUUAUUUGUGGUGUAAUAAAUAAAUAAAUACAUAUUGGUUUGCUUGUUGCAGUAGGUGCCUUCAAUAAGCUGCAUUUCUUUUAUUUGUGUCCAUAACCGUCAUGACGUUUACACAUUUGAUGAAGGAACAACAGACGAACGGGAAUCUGGGAAUUUCUACGGCGUUAGAAGGUUAGAAGGAAUCCGAUGUGUCACCGAGGGUCUGAUAAGCUCUCGUUCCCAUGGCGACCGUCGAAUGAAAGAGAUCCUCCUGCUUUCUGCACAGAGGAAAACACUUCAGGGAGGGAGGGGGGGUCACGGGAUGUUGUUUGACUUGUAGAUCCUGUUUUCAUCCUUUUUCCCAAGCAGCCAAUCCCAAGCUAAUGCAGGUGCCCCCCCCCCCCCCAUAAGUGCUCUUCCUGCGUUCUGGUGACGGACAGAAGAGGAAGCGACUCACACAUUCAGAUAAUCUGGUAUAUUUUCUUCUUAUAUUUAUUUUACUUUGUCUGUUUGUGUCUUCAGAUUUCCCUUAAAUCCACCAGAAGUUCCGACGACGUCAUUUUGUAUUUAAGCGUAAUGUAUUUAUGUAUAAAUAUUAUUACAUUGUUGUUGUUCAUAUUCGGGUUUGUUCAGACAUCAUUGUUCUCGUAAUACGUUUACUAAUAGAAACAUGGAUUUAUUUUGCAGAAACAUUUUAUGUUUAAUUUAUUUUUUAUAGAUUUUCACAUUUACGCUUGAGAAGAAUGUGUGAAUGUGUGUAUGUACGAUGUACAAAUGUAAGUUUCAAGGUGAAUUCUGUAUGUUGGUAAAUUCAUCCGUCUGAGAAUAAAGCGUCAGUUAGUUUGUAGAUAUUCUGGAGUAAAACGUGGAUUAUUGUCUGUAGGCGCAUUUAUGUUUCUAUAACAAACAACGGGAUGAAACGGCUGCUUUUGGUUACAAGUCAAAGGUUUAAUGAACCUCUCUGCCC
ensembl:lncRNA